ensembl:lncRNA
CAUAGUCCAUACAGAGAUUGUAGAAAUAACGGAUACAAAUGAGUGGUUUAAUUCCAAUCUUCUGAAGAGUCAUAAUAACUUUAUACAAUAAACACAUUUUUUAUUUGUAAGCAACUGUCCCUUUAAGAUUAUGAACCGUUGUUAACCGACUUAAACUGCUUGAUUCAACACACCUACUCCACCUUUCUCAGCUCCACUGCGUAUGUCUCAGGGAGACCAUCACGGAGACGGCUGGUGUGUUGAUCAACCUAACACACAAAGUAAAAGACCAUAAUCAGGGAUAAAGGAAAUCUGAAACAUAUUCACAGCAUUUAAAUAAAUCUUAAAAACUGAACAACAUUUUGUGUUCAAUCCAUAGAGCACAACUUUGCUGUCCUGAGACCCUCAGAGGACCACCUAGGAAGAUCUCAGACUCCAGUGGGCAUCUCUCAGGCAGACCAUCAUGGUGACGGCUGGAGUGCUCAUCCACCUGACACACAAGCUCCAGUGGGCGUCUCUCAGGCAGACCAUCAUGGUGAUGGCUGGAGUGCUCAUCCACCUGACACACAAGAGCACACCUUUUCUGUCCUGAGACCCUCAGGGGCCCACCAAGGAAGAACACUGAGUAAGUUAAGAAGGGGAAAAACACAAUGUCUGAUAACUUGAACAAUGUCCGGGAAUACAGACAUGAUGGACUGCAACAUUCACAGGAAGCUGUUUGUUCUGAAAGUACAAUAAUCUGCACGUUUUAGUAGAAUUGAACUAAAUCAAACUGCACACCAUUUCAAAUCAUAUUAAAUAUUGUUAUGGAUUUAAUGUUAUAUAAAAAUUUAGAGUAUAAUAGGACAUGACAGCAUUAUUGUCCAUUUUAAUCAUGUUCCAAAAAUAAUUUAAAUGAAGUUACACCAAAAAAAAUAAAAAUAAUAUUUGGUACA